GGAGAGCCGGGGCAGCCUGCCACGGGGCCCUCCGCUGCUGACACCGCAGCGCACUUUGCUGGGCCCCUGUCACAAAGCAGAACCUAGGUGGGCUUCUGCUGUAAGGAGAGCAAAACGAUGCCGUGCCCGAAAGUCUUGCAGUCGGUCUUUGAACCUCCUAGAGAUGCAGCAAUAUAAACUCCAUGGCUUGUAUAACUUUGAACUCUGUCCUCAUUGACCCCUACUGGACUUACUGCCUAUAAAAUGAAACUCUAAAUGAGCAGCACCUGGGAAGGUCAAAGAAUGACUCUUUGAAAACCCUUGUUCAAAUAUGCCAAGAAGCAGGGAGAAGUUGCUGCAACAAGUAGCAGAGGAAUUCGUAAGAGGAAAAUGAAGAGCAGGAGAUAAAACUACUACUUUGUCUUGUCUUUUAAACAUCUUUUGUGGUUUUCUACCUUGCCGAUGAAGAGAGAAAAAUAAUUUAGACAUACUAUCCACUACUUCCUGGAUUGUAUUUCAUCUUUCCCUAGAUCUGAACUAUGCUUGUACAGUUUUGUUUACACCAAUAGUUCAGUAUUUUGUUAGCUAUCAUAAUUUUUUAUGUGUUUAUUAAGCUUUUAAAGAAGUAUGGAUUACUCAAAAAGGCAGUGAAGCUAAAUAAAGCUAAUGCUAAAACACUAUUAUUUGUGGUUUAGAGAUAUAUUUUAGAUAGUGUGCAUUUUGCAAAAUCCCUGCAUGUGAGGCUUUUUAAGAACACUCUCUGCUUCUUAUAAAACAAAUAAAAUAGGACAUGGAAAUCUUAAGCAUAAUAAUACUAUGCUU